rnacentral:piRNA from 1 species
UUACCAGAGAGGGUGAAAUGGUCUGGGAG